GACGAACGCUGGCGGCGUGCUUAACACAUGCAAGUCGAACGGAAAGGCCUGCUUUCCCUUGUGGAUUGCGGGUGCUCGAGUGGCGAACGGGUGAGUAACACGUGAGUGAUCUGCCCCCAACUUGGGUAUAAGCCUGGGAAACUGGGUCUAAUUCCCGAUAGGACUGCAGGGUGGUGCCUGUGGUGGAAAACGAUUUUCUAGUGGUUGGGGAUGAGCUCGCGGCCUAUUAGCUUGUUGGUGGGGUAAUGGCCUACCAAGGCGGCGACGGGUAGCCGGCCUGAGAGGGUGGACGGCCACAUUGGGACUGAGAUACGGCCCAGACUCCUACGGGAGGCAGCAGUGGGGAAUAUUGCACAAUGGGCGGAAGCCUGAUGCAGCGACGCCGCGUGGGGGAUGACGGCCUUCGGGUUGUAAACUCCUUUCGACCGCGAGGAAGCCACCUGGUUGGAAGGGUGGUGACGGUAGUGGUAGAAGAAGCACCGGCUAACUACGUG
rnacentral:rRNA from 1 species